rnacentral:rRNA from 1 species
GGGUCAGCGACUUAUAUUCUGUAGCAAGGUUAACCGUAUAGGGGAGCCGCAGGGAAACCGAGUCUUAACUGGGCGUUAAGUUGCAGGGUAUAGACCCGAAACCCGGUGAUCUAGCCAUGGGCAGGUUGAAGGUUGGGUAACACUAACUGGAGGACCGAACCGACUAAUGUUGAAAAAUUAGCGGAUGACUUGUGGCUGGGGGUGAAAGGCCAAUCAAACCGGGAGAUAGCUGGUUCUCCCCGAAAGCUAUUUAGGUAGCGCCUCGUGAACUCAUCUUCGGGGGUAGAGCACUGUUUCGGCUAGGGGGUCAUCCCGACUUACCAACCCGAUGCAAACUACGAAUACCGAAGAAUGUUAUCACGGGAGACACACGGCGGGUGCUAACGUCCGUCGUGAAGAGGGAAACAACCCAGACCGCCAGCUAAGGUCCCAAAGUCAUGGUUAAGUGGGAAACGAUGUGGGAAGGCACAGACAGCCAGGAUGUUGGCUUAGAAGCAGCCAUCAUUUAAAGAAAGCGUAAUAGCUCACUGGUCGAGUCGGCCUGCGCGGAAGAUGUAACGGGGCUAAACCAUGCACCGAAGCUGCGGCAGCGACACUAUGUGUUGUUGGGUAGGGGAGCGUUCUGUAAGCCUGCGAAGGUGUGCUGUGAGGCAUGCUGGAGGUAUCAGAAGUGCGAAUGCUGACAUAAGUAACGAUAAAGCGGGUGAAAAGCCCGCUCGCCGGAAGACCAAGGGUUCCUGUCCAACGUUAAUCGGGGCAGGGUGAGUCGACCCCUAAGGCGAGGCCGAAAGGCGUAGUCGAUGGGAAACAGGUUAAUAUUCCUGUACUUGGUGUUACUGCGAAGGGGGGACGGAGAAGGCUAUGUUAGCCGGGCGACGGUUGUCCCGGUUUAAGCAUGUAGGCUGGUUGUCCAGGCAAAUCCGGAUAAUCAAGGCUGAGGUGUGAUGACGAGGCACUACGGUGCUGAAGUAACAAAUGCCCUGCUUCCAGGAAAAGCCUCUAAGCAUCAGGUAACAUCAAAUCGUACCCCAAACCGACACAGGUGGUCAGGUAGAGAAUACCAAGGCGCUUGAGAGAACUCGGGUGAAGGAACUAGGCAAAAUGGUGCCGUAACUUCGGGAGAAGGCACGCUGGUGUGUAGGUGAAGCCCCUGCGGGUGGAGCUGAGACCAGUCGAAGAUACCAGCUGGCUGCAACUGUUUAUUAAAAACACAGCACUGUGCAAACACGAAAGUGGACGUAUACGGUGUGACGCCUGCCCGGUGCCGGAAGGUUAAUUGAUGGGGUUAUCCGUAAGGAGAAGCUCUUGAUCGAAGCCCCGGUAAACGGCGGCCGUAACUAUAACGGUCCUAAGGUAGCGAAAUUCCUUGUCGGGUAAGUUCCGACCUGCACGAAUGGCGUAAUGAUGGCCAGGCUGUCUCCACCCGAGACUCAGUGAAAUUGAACUCGCUGUGAAGAUGCAGUGUACCCGCGGCAAGACGGAAAGACCCCGUGAACCUUUACUAUAGCUUGACACUGAACAUUGAGCCUUGAUGUGUAGGAUAGGUGGGAGGCUUUGAAGCGUGGACGCCAGUCUGCGUGGAGCCAACCUUGAAAUACCACCCUUUAAUGUUUGAUGUUCUAACGUUGGCCCCUGACCGGGGUUGCGGACAGUGUCUGGUGGGUAGUUUGACUGGGGCGGUCUCCUCCCAAAGCGUAACGGAGGAGCACGAAGGUUAGCUAAUCCUGGUCGGACAUCAGGAGGUUAGUGCAAUGGCAUAAGCUAGCUUGACUGCGAGCGUGACGGCGCGAGCAGGUGCGAAAGCAGGUCAUAGUGAUCCGGUGGUUCUGAAUGGAAGGGCCAUCGCUCAACGGAUAAAAGGUACUCCGGGGAUAACAGGCUGAUACCGCCCAAGAGUUCAUAUCGACGGCGGUGUUUGGCACCUCGAUGUCGGCUCAUCACAUCCUGGGGCUGAAGUAGGUCCCAAGGGUAUGGCUGUUCGCCAUUUAAAGUGGUACGCGAGCUGGGUUUAGAACGUCGUGAGACAGUUCGGUCCCUAUCUGCCGUGGGCGCUGGAGAAUUGAGGGGGGCUGCUCCUAGUACGAGAGGACCGGAGUGGACGCAUCACUGGUGUUCGGGUUGUCAUGCCAAUGGCACUGCCCGGUAGCUAAAUGCGGAAGAGAUAAGUGCUGAAAGCAUCUAAGCACGAAACUUGCCCCGAGAUGAGUUCUCCCUGAGACUU